UGCAUACACCUGCACGCAGGCCACACACACACGUGCACACCGCAUUAAAGUCACAGACGUGUGCAUGGGCACACACAUAUAUAAAGUCACACAUGGUCACCUGCAUCACACAUACACUCACAGCACAUAUGCAGCCACACACGUGCACACAUACAGGAUACAUGUAGUUACAUGCAGAGGUACAUGAACACUCACACAUGCACAUGUAU
rnacentral:lncRNA from 10 species